CGACACGCCUUGAAUUGCAAUAGAGGCUCGCGCUUUGAGCUUGAACUUGACUGUCGGAAUGUGCCUCGUGGGAACAGGCCAGAGUUUGCCCCCUCCUUUCAUGAUGCACAAUUUGGUGUCAACUCGAAUUAUCAUAAAACCCAGCCUGCUUCAAAUUAAGGGACGAGAGGUGCUGAGAGCUAGUCUCUCUCACAUCCAAGGCUGGGGAAGAAUUAAGAGCUCCCUCGGUGAAGAAGCUCACUUGGGUGACUUUCAGACGUAACAACAGUUUUUCUACAGUGAACUACGUUAUUUUGGACACAGUUAAAUUAAAUGUUGCAGUUGAACUGCAACAUCACUCCACCUGAAAACACCAUACACUGCAACAUCCCUGCACCUGAAGACACCAUACACUGCAACAUCCCUGCACCUGAAGACACCAUACACUGCAACAUCCCUGCACCUGAAGACACCAUACACUGCAACAUCCCUGCACCUGAAGACACCAUACACUGCAACAUCCCUGCACCUGAAGACACCAUACACUGCAACAUCACUGCA